GACGAACGCUGGCGGCGUGCUUAACACAUGCAAGUCGAACGGAAAGGCCCUGCUUUUGUGGGGUGCUCGAGUGGCGAACGGGUGAGUAACACGUGAGUAACCUGCCCUUGACUUUGGGAUAACUUCAGGAAACUGGGGCUAAUACCGGAUAGGAGCUCCUGCUGCAUGGUGGGGGUUGGAAAGUUUCGGCGGUUGGGGAUGGACUCGCGGCUUAUCAGCUUGUUGGUGGGGUAGUGGCUUACCAAGGCUUUGACGGGUAGCCGGCCUGAGAGGGUGACCGGCCACAUUGGGACUGAGAUACGGCCCAGACUCCUACGGGAGGCAGCGGUGGGGAAUAUUGCACAAUGGGCGGAAGCCUGAUGCAGCAACGCCGCGUGCGGGAUGACGGCCUUCGGGUUGUAAACCGCUUUCGCCUGUGACGAGGCGUGAGUGACGGUAAUGGGUAAAGAAGCACCGGCUAACUACGUG
rnacentral:rRNA from 1 species